AGGACGAACGCUGGCGGCGUGCUUAACACAUGCAAGUCGAGCGGAAAGGCCCUUCGGGGUACUCGAGCGGCGAACGGGUGAGUAACACGUGAGCAACCUGCCCUUAGCUCCGGGAUAGCUCCGGGAAACCGGAAUUAAUACCGGAUAUGACCUAGGCCGACAUCGGCUGUGGGUGGAAAGUUUUUUCGGCUGGGGAUGGACUCGCGGCCUAUCAGCUUGUUGGUGGGGUAAUGGCCUACCAAGGCGACGACGGGUAGCCGGCCUGAGAGGGCGACCGGCCACACUGGGACUGAGACACGGCCCAGACUCCUACGGGAGGCAGCAGUGGGGAAUCUUGCGCAAUGGGCGAAAGCCCUGACGCAGCGACGCCGCGUGGGGGAUGAAGGCCUUCGGGUUGUAAACCCCUUUCAGCAGGGACGAAGCGAAAGUGACGGUACCUGCAGAAGAAGCGCCGGCUAACUACGCGCCAGCAGCCGC
rnacentral:rRNA from 1 species